GAUGAACGCUGGCGGCGUGCUUAACACAUGCAAGUCGAACGGUGAAGGCGGAGCUUGCUCUGCUGGAUCAGUGGCGAACGGGUGAGUAACACGUGAGCAAUCUGCCCCUGACUCUGGGAUAAGCGCUGGAAACGGCGCCUAAUACUGGAUACGAGCUGCGAAGGCAUCUUCAGCAGCUGGAAAGAACUUCGGUCAGGGUUGAGCUCGCGGCCUAUCAGCUUGUUGGUGAGGUAACGGCUCACCAAGGCGUCGACGGGUAGCCGGCCUGAGAGGGUGACCGGCCACACUGGGACUGAGACACGGCCCAGACUCCUACGGGAGGCAGCAGUGGGGAAUAUUGCACAAUGGGCGAAAGCCUGAUGCAGCAACGCCGCGUGAGGGACGACGGCCUUCGGGUUGUAAACCUCUUUUAGCAGGGAAGAAGCGAAAGUGACGGUACCUGCAGAAAAAGCGCCGGCUAACUACGUG
rnacentral:rRNA from 1 species